rnacentral:rRNA from 1 species
UGGGUGACCUGCCCUCAGCUCUGGGAUAAGCCCGGGAAACUGGGUCUAAUACCGGAUAUGACCUCUCAUCGCAUGGUGGGUGGUGGAAAGUCUCUUCGGCUGGGGAUGGGCCCGCGGCCUAUCAGCUUGUUGGUGGGGUGAUGGCCUACCAAGGCGACGACGGGUAGUCGGCCUGAGAGGGCGACCGGCCACACUGUGACUGAGACACGGCCCAGACUCCUACGGG